rnacentral:lncRNA from 1 species
UCUACCUACCGCAGACUCUUUUUCUAUCCUUCUCUCACUUGUCUUACUAGAGUAGAAAACCCCUCGUCGUGCACAUCUCCUCUCUCCCUCUCUUUCUUCUUCUACUCUCUCCCUCCCUUUUCCUCUCAUUUUUUCUCCUUUCCCUCAUCUUUUCCUAUUUUCCUCCACCCUCUCCUGUGUUGCCCUAAUGCAAACUCACC